ensembl:lncRNA
CAAUGAUCACCAAGUUUCAAUCCCCCUGCCAUGGGCAGGGUCACCAGCCACUAGACCAGGCUGUCCAGAGCCACAGCCAGCCUGGCCUUGAAUGCCUCCAGGGAUGGGGCAUCCUCAACCUCCUUGGGCAACUUUUCCAGUGCUUCAGCACCCUCAGCGUGAAAAAAUUCCUCCUAAUAUCUAACCUAAACCUCCCAUGUCUCAGUUUAAGACCAUUCCCCCUUGUCCUAUCACUAUCUACCCUCGUAAACAGCCAUUCCCCCUCCUGUUUAUAUGCUCCCUUCAAGUACCGGAAGGCCACAAUGAGGUCUCCCUGGAGCCUUCUCUUCUCUGAGCUAAACAAUCCCAGUUCCCUCAACCUUUCCUCAUAGGAGAGGUGCUCCAGCCCUCUGAUCAUUAUGCAGGCACCCUGGGUUUCAUCAGAAAUAGAGUAGUCAGCAGAACUAGGGUGGUGAUUGUCUCCUAGUACUCAGCACUGAUGAGGCUACACCAGUGUUCAGUUCAGUGUUCAAAUACUCUGUUCAGUUUUGGGCUCCUUACUACAAGAAAGGCACUGAAGUGCAUGUCUAAAGAAGGGCAACCAAAUUGGUGAAGAAUCUGGAGCAGAAGUCUAAUGAGAAACAGUUGAGGGAACUGGGAUUGUUUAGUCUGGAGCAGAGAAGGCUCAGGGGAGACUUUAUUGCUCUCUACAACUGCCUGAAAAGAGGUUAUACCAAGGUGUACAUCAGCCUCUUCUUCCAGGUAACUAGCAAUAGGACAGGUGGUAAUGAUCUUGUCUUGGUGCUAGGGGAAAUUCAUGUUGGAUAUCAGGGAAAAGAUUAUUCUAAGAAAGUUGUUAGCCUUUGGAACAGGCUUUCCAGGGAAGUGGUGAAGUCACCAUUCCUGGAAGUGUUCAGUAAACAUGUAGAUGUGACACAAAGACAAGCAGUUUAUUAAAGCCACUCUGAAGACAGGCAUUGCAAAUAUCCCUCAGAAUCAGUUGCAAUUGCUUUUAAAAUUUGUUUGAGGCCCAUUUAAAUCCAUUUGGAAUAUACAUGAGAAAAUUCUGUUUUUCAGUGAAGGGCAAGUUGGAUGAUGACCUGGGCAGACUGCAUGAAGGAAUCAGGUGCUGGAACUGGGUGCAGGUGUACUGGAACCAGGUGAUUUUCAAGGCCCUUCCAAUCCAGUUGAUGCUCAUUCACAGACUGCUCCAUCUUCACUUUUAAGACUUUAAAUGUAUGAGAAGCUGACUGACUUAGAUGACAGUAAGGUGCUGUUCUAUACAGAAUGGUCAUAGAAGCUCAAUGAGGAAACUAAUAUUAGAUUACAAAAUUUUGUCUUUUAAAAAUGAGAUGAAUGACACCUUCAUUUCAAACUUUCAAAACUGACAUUGUUAACUGAAUCAGUUACAGACAAGUGAGCAAUUACUACAGAGAAACAGUAGGAGUGAAUUUACCAUCCACACAGUGAAAAAAGGAAAAAUAUAAUAUACAUCAGUCUAUGUAUCUGCCCUGUAGGAUUUUUCUAAUAAACCUUUUUUUUUUUUUUUUUUUCCAGUUCUCUUAGAAAGUCAAGUCCUGAAAAUUCUAAAUGACUAAUAUGUUAAUAAAGUACAUCCUUCAUCUUUAAGGAUCUUUAUUUUACGUGCAAAUAAAAACUUUGCUCUGCUUUCUUUGAAUGCAAUUCGUACCCCUUUCCAAAAUGAAAAAUGACUGAACAGAACUCAAAAUUUUUAUAACAGUAUGCAAAUUAAAUAUUUUGGCUGUUUUCCAAUACCUUAAAAAUUACAUUUUGGAAGGAAUGCUUUUCCAAUGAAAGGAUUAUAAGUAAUUUUCAGUAAAAAAAAAAAAAAAAAAAAAAGGAAUCUUGGUGAGCUAGGGCAUUCACUGCAUGUAUACUGCAUUGACAGUUUUCAGUGAUUUCAGGUUUUCUUACAGAAAGUAUUUUCUACUAAAUUUUAUUUUUCUCCCUUUCAACAGCUUUUGAAAUACCAUUAUCAAUUUAGUAUUUUCUGGAUGAGAAAAAAUGUGUAAAAGGAAAAUAUAAUUCACAGUAUCUAGUUUCUCUCUAGAUUUUCAAGUUUUUGAUGCUGAAUUCCAGAAUAAAGGAAUAACUCAAGAACAGGAAGAACCAAAAAUAAUUUUAGCUUUGAAGAGUUUAAUUUACAGGAAAAGGAGGUUUUGAGUCAGACUCAUAUCUGAUGUUGUUUUAUAAAAAAUGUAUCCAUUCCAGAUUUUGCAAAACAUAUUCUCAUGUCAAAGUGCAUUCUUUAAUCUGCAUUUAUAAGUAAUGAUUUUGUUUAAUUAUACAGAGCAGGAGUUGUACAUUACCAUACUGAAUAUGUCAUUAGAAUAGUUUUUAUUCUAAGUUAUUUUUUAAUGGCAUUUGGUUGCUUAAGUGUAAAAAAUGAGAAUACAAAUAUAACACAUCCUUUUUUUCUACAUUAUCAUGAUGACUGCUAAAUUAAUAUAAAUAAUUAAUUUAUACAGAAAGUUAUCCAUAAGCAGCAUAUAAACAAUGCUGCCACUGAUGCUUAAUUGAAAAAGAGAGAUGCAAACAAUUCUUUGAUCUUUGCCAAAGAGAAGACUCAAGAAAACGGAUCCACUUCCUAUGACAGAAAGAAGUCAACCAAACAACGAAUCACAAAGAAGAGAGGGACCACAAGCAAAUUAAUAAACAAAAAAAACCAAGAGAUCAAAAUUAUUCUGGCACCUGUAAAAUCACUCUGGCAAGGGAUCUGAAUAUGAGUGCAGAAAGAAGCAAAACAGAAGAAAUCAGUAUCUUAUGAAACAUGAAAAAUAAGAAAGUUGAGAGUUGAAGGACUCCUAUGAAAAUAAUUCCUUGCUAUUAUUUAUUUGUUUUUCUAGAUUUUGUAUUACUUGCUCUUUGUAAAAAUUACAGUAGUAAACAUAGUAAGAAAUUAAUCAUUGUUAGGGCAAUAUUUAUAUAAAUUUGACAGAGUAGCUUAGGUAAAGACCAGAAUAUAUUUUACUGAGAUUAAGUACUAAUACGAUAAUUGUAGUUUUUAGGCACUUCAGGAAGUUUAAAGUUCUAGCUGGAGGAUGAUUAAUUCAGCCCCUAGCUAACAAGGUACAGUUUCCUUAGUGUCUCUGAACAUCAUAGUCCAGCAGAGGUGAGAACAAAAGUAGAUUCAAUUUCAAAGCCACUUUAUGAGAAGUGACUUCUACUUAAAAAUAUCUUGGUAAACUGAGAGGUUAUUACAUAAAUCCUCACUAUGCCAGUGUCUUGUACUUGGAAGACUAGAACCACAUAAACUUCCUUCACACAUAUUCAGUAAGGCAGCAUGCUACAGGAGAAAAAAAAUCUGAUUUGGUAUCAAUCUUCAGCUUCCAUUCUUUCAGCUUCAGGUAUUUAGACAUGUUGAACUGAGGUGCCCUGCAGAAGUUAAAUGAAAAGACAAAUGUGGAUAGGUUGUUCAGCAAUACAGGUGAAAGGCUACACUUUAAUUUGGCAAAAUAUGUUUAAAUUAGGCCUUAUAAUAGGUAGGUUCCCCAUUAUUUUGUGCCAUUAACUUGGUUUUAGAGAAUACUUUAAAACGCCUUUACUUGUUAAAUCUUUCACAGCCAGCUGAUUGUCUCCCUAACAGAAAAUGAGAAGAAAAAUGUCAAGAAGAGCAAGGAUUAUCUUAACCUUGUACUACACUGAUCAGAACUCUGCUCGAAGUCAAUGAUUGCAAAACUUGUUCAGAAUAACCUGAUGAUUCAGUCUCCCAGAAUGCUAAUCUUCGAAAUCAUUGCAGCAAGAGACAAGAGGUUUAAAGCCACAUUCAAUUGUAAUGAGAUCCGUCAUUAAAGGCAGAUCACAGUCCAUUGACAUGCCUAACUUGUAAUUACUUUUACUUUAAUAUUUUCAUUAGCACAAGAAUUUAGAAUCAUUAUUCUGUCUUUAUAUUUUGCCUAUUAUUUUCAUUUUAUUCUAAUAACAAACUUGUUAAUAAAGCUCUCAGUUUUCUGC